rnacentral:rRNA from 1 species
UGGCGCACGGGUGAGUAACACGUGAAUAAUCUACCUCCGAGUGGGGAAUAACCUAGAGAAAUCUGGGCUAAUACCGCAUAACACUUACGAGUCAAAGCAGCAAUGCGCUUGGAGAGGAGUUCGCGGCCGAUUAGCUAGUUGGCGGGGUAAUGGCCCACCAAGGCGAUGAUCGGUAUCCGGCCUGAGAGGGCGCACGGACACACUGGAACUGAAACACGGUCCAG